UAAAUUUUUUUUUUAAAAAAAAAUAAAAGACGCUUGUUUCUAAGAAUAGAGUCUUGAGUAAGAAAACCCUAGUAGCAUCUGUUUGGCAGCAAUCUCAGCAUAGUUCAGAGCUCUCAGCAUUUAAUCUGUGUAUUCUCAAAACAAAGAAAGCACAUGUGUAACUAGAAACGAUCUCAACUAUAUCUCUAUUUUCUACGUUACUCGAAUAUGUUGCUUAAAUAUCAGUGACAUCAAUAUGAUGCGUCUUACGAAAGUACUAGGAAGUCUGCAUGAUACUGCUUAUAAGAAAUUGACAUAGUCAUGCAUACCUCAAUUUGCUUAUGAGCAACAGCCAAAUGCAGAAUGUUGUGUCGAUCACCAUCCUUUGCAUUCAAGAACACGUGGUCCCAUCCAAUCGCCAUUAGCACCUUCAGAACCUCCAGCUGAUUAUGCUUCACACACAAAUGCAAAAUGUUUUCUCCAUUGAUCAUCGUUCCUAGAGCUGCAUGAGGCCUGACAUGUAUCAGUUCUUUGAUGACUUCAACGCGGCCUUUGAUGGCUGCAAGAUGGAGAGGAUUUCCACCAUCGCAAUCACGAGCCAGACACAGUUCAGCAUUUACCAACAACAACAUAUGUAUGAUAUGCAGGUGACUUUUGUGAAUCCUAUUCAGAAGCAAGUUGAGGAUUUUGAACCAGAAUUAACCUCACAAAGUCAAUAUGCCCACACAGUUCUGCUAUGUGAAAAGGUGUUUCAUUGAAGCUAGUUAAGGUAAGUCUAUCAAGAAUUAAAGUAUCUUCUUCAAGUAAUUCUUGUAAAACUCUAACAUCUCCUUUAACUGAAGCUUCAUACAGUCUUCUGCAGAUCCAUUUUCCUCUAGUAGAUACUUUAUUACAAAUUGAAUUGGAUAAUUUUAUAGUUGCUGAUAUUUCUUUACUUAUUGGAUUGAGCCAUCCUUGGAAAA